rnacentral:lncRNA from 10 species
AGCGGACACCCGCGAGGCGGGCCCGCCUCCGCGUACUCACCGGGCCUCCCGGGCCGCCGGCUCGGCCCUCCUCUCCCUCCUCCCCCCGCCGCCGCCUCUCCCGCGGCUCCCCAGGCGGCCGCACUGGGCGUUGGGACUGGUCUGGGUCAAGUGUCGGCAGAGCUGGGGGCAGGCUCGCGCCGGGCGGGGGUCGCGGUCGGCCCACAGGCUGGGCACUAACGGGUCCCGGGGCGCCGGGGCGGACUGCGGCGGUGAGCGCGGCUGCAGGCCGCGGUGAGGGGCGGGAAGAGCGCAGCUGCGAGCAGGCGGGCGGAGGGUAGCGGGAAGCCCGGGCGGAGGGGGCGGCGUGAGAGCCUCGGGGCGGGGGCGGGGCCUGGCGCGUCCGCCGAGCGCGGGGGUUUGUUUAUUUUCCCGGUUGGUAGCGGCGCUGGCGCUGGUUAGAGGUUCGCCGGUGACGUGAGCGCCCGAGUUGGGGGAGAGGACCAGAACCACCUGCUGGAGAAAGGGAGCUACGGGGGCCGGGCAGGGUCCAAACGCCUCACGUGGGCGGCGGCGCCACGGUCUUCGGGGUCACAGGGAAGAGAAGGGCUCUCCUCAAGCGGGUGGAAGGAGGGAGGCCUCCCGAGGGAAUGAGACUCCAGGCCACUCCCCCGCAGCAAGGCAGGAUCACCUGCGUCGCGGAGAGCAGUUAGAGGUCCCUGGAGUGGAAAAGGGCAGUGGGACCUGGUAGCUUGGGUUCCCUGCAACUUGGGGUUCGACCUCCAGGCAAUGAAGUAGGGAUGGUCCUGCAAGUCAAGAUUCCAGUAGCAAGAGUGCAUCAGAUCUCUGUAAGGAAAAUAACUAACAUUGCUCAGUUCCCUGUAGAGUUGCAGGGCGCUUUGACGUUAUCUCCCUUGGUUCUCCAUCAGGUCGUAGUGGACUAAUUUUACAGGCGAAGUUAAGUGACUUACCCAAAACCUCACAGCUAAUAAACGGCAGAGCCGGCACCCAGCUGUACUGGCUUCCAGCGCAUCCCAUUAUCUCCAUAAAUCCCCCUGAUUCAACUAAUAUUAGACGCCCCACAGAGUCUCGCUGCUCAAAACGUGGUCAGUGGCCCAGCAGCACUGACAUGAGGACCUUAGUUGGAAACUCAGAAUCUCAGGCUCCACCCCAGACCUGCUGAACCAGCAUCUUCAACUUAACAAGAACCCGAAGAGAUUUGUGCCACAUCAAAAAGUUUGAGAAGCUCUGAUCUAGGUGAGCCAAGCCAGCAAAGAAAGGGGGUGGAGCAGAAAAUGGGAGGAGAAUAGGGUAAUGCAGAAUCAUCAAGACAAGGUAAAUUGGACUUUCACAAAAACGGGGCUGGAAGGAGUGUUGCUCAACAAUAUCCAAAACCACAGAGGUUGAAAAGCACAAGGAAAGAAGCUGGACCCUGGACACGGUGACUCUGAUUCAAUUAUGCAGAUGACCACAAGCCUCUGGGGUUGGCAGAGCCACAAGAAAGAAGGUGCCUGGAUGAAGGAGAGCUACCCACUGACCUGGACACCCAAUUAUGUCAUAGGUGCUGCAAUCUAGAGACAAAAUAUUCCUUACACUGCCAGAUACUUGCAAACUAAGGGGAACGAGCUUCCCUCUGAAUGUUUAUGAAGGAGAGACCACUGUGAGGAUAGACAGUGAAGUGCAACUACAGCCCGCAAAUGAAAAUGAAUAAAAUUAAUCCAGCCCCUCAAGGCAGUCAUCUGUCUUAGAGCUAUUGGAAUCCUGGAUCAUUGUGGGAAAUGAAAAGAACUGGUUUUUAGCAAGGAGACCAAGAAACUCUACUCCCUAGGGGCUAGCAAUGAGAGAAAGGAAGCCUUGAGUCUUUGAGCACAGGGUGACAGUUUGGGUCCUAUGUGAGAUGAUCAAAUCCACAGCAACAGAGGAAAGGACAAAAGGAAAAGGUCUGUAGCAGCACUACAUCAGAAAAAAUGGAUUCCGCAAGGAAGUGGGUGACUCUGAAUACUUCGAUGGAAUCAGCAGCCAUUGAUCCAAUGCCAACUCCAAGACUGGAACGUCGCAAUGAUAGUUCCAAGGCGGAAAUUUGACGUAAUUCUUUUCGACACAGUUUUACAGGUCUGGAUGCCCAUUUUAAUUCUUCUGAAAGCAUGCCUCCUUCUGGCUUCAGGACUCCAUCUCCAGCCUUAUGAUCUAAAAAUAAUCCCCAAACCAAAAAAUUAGAUAUUAUUUCCUCAAAAUUAGGUGUUUUAAUCAAAACAUCUUAACAUAAAUACAUUAUUAUCACCCA